rnacentral:rRNA from 1 species
UACGUAGGGUGCGAGCGUUGUCCGGAAUUAUUGGGCGUAAAGAGCUUGUAGGUGGUUUGUCGCGUCUGCUGUGAAAAUCCGAGGCUCAACCUCGGACUUGCAGUGGGUACGGGCAGACUAGAGUGCGGUAGGGGGAGACUGGAAUUCCUGGUGUAGCGGUGGAAUGCGCAGAUAUCAGGAGGAACGCCGAUGGCGAAGGCGGGUCUCUGGGCAGUAACUGACGCUGAGGAGCGAAAGCGUGGGGAGCGAACAGG